CCAGACUCCUACGGGAGGCAGCAGUGGGGAAUAUUGGGCAAUGGGGGAAACCCUGACCCAGCGACGCCGCGUGAGGGAAGAAGGUUUUCGGAUUGUAAACCUCUGUCCUUGGUGACGAUAAUGACGGUAGCCAAGGAGGAAGCCACGGCUAACUACGUGCCAGCAGCCGCGGUAAUACGUAGGUGGCGAGCGUUGUCCGGAAUUACUGGGUGUAAAGGGAGCGUAGGCGGGAGAGCAAGUCUGGAGUGAAAGCCCGGGGCCCAACCCCGGAACUGCUCUGGAAACUGUGCGGCUAGAGUACUGGAGGGGCAGGCGGAAUUCCUAGUGUAGCGGUGAAAUGCGUAGAUAUUAGGAGGAACACCAGUGGCGAAGGCGGCCUGCUGGACAGUAACUGACGUUGAGGCUCGAAAGCGUGGGGAGCAAACAGGAUUAGAUACCCCCGUAUGA
rnacentral:rRNA from 1 species